ACUGUGUCCAUUUGCCUGUAACACACAAAUGAAAACAGGAAACAAUCAAAUGAAGUUAUGUUUAGCACUUUUUCAUUUUUUGGAGGAGAGCUGAAAAUUAAAGUAAAAGAAACUUGAUGGUUCAAAAAUUAAAAAGAACAUUGAUUACUUUUGAUUGGUAGAAAUGUGAUUCCGUACCUUGAAGAGAAUAACAAUAAUGUUCUAAUUAAAUAAUAAUAAUGCAACAAUUCACUUCUUAUAACUUUUUAAAAAAUUCUGCUAUAACAGCAUCUUACACAACAGUAGAGCUAUAAAAUUAGAGAUUUAACUGGACCAUCAAAGGUAUAGAUUUAAUCUUGGGAUACAUAAAGUAGAUGUUACCCCAGCAAGCAUAGUUUGACAAAGCGUAAGAAGUUAGUUUCAGAGGUCUCCAAGCAAGCAGAAGGUGUAGCCAAGUAUGUACGUGUUAUGGUACCAUCAUCUAGCAGUGAUAGAAGGGACAGAACACAGCAAACACUCAGGGAAGGACUCUAUAUGGACAAAGUGGAUAUGUCAGUUGAAUAAAGAGUGAGCUAUCUGCAGUGAUAGCCUGAUGGUGAAGUUACUGUGUGUGGAACUCCUAAAUGAAGCUAUUGGGAGUUCUGCAUGCAUAGGGGCUGCAGGCUGAGUCCUUUAGUCAGGAAGCAUGCCCUCUGAAUCUAUCAAUAAUUUUAGCAAUUUAUAGGGUGCUAAUCCCUGUAGUUUCCAAAUGAAAAUUCCAAGGAAGUUAAUUCUGUCUAAUGCAUCAUUAACUACUAACAGAAAAGUUCACAAUGACGGGAAAAUGACAGAUGGGUAACUAUGUAUUAGGAGGAUAGGUAACUGCUGAGCAAGUUGCUUACAUCUAGUUCUAAUCUCUACUUUGCCUGUUGUAGUAUCUAGACACCAUAGCAGACAGACCUGUUACUCCCACCUCAGAAGCACAAAGAUCCAGCUCUUGAGUUGAGUCUAGGCAUAUCACCAUAGGGGCAGUCAACACUAGUUUGUGGACAAGCUACUGAAGGGGCAAGAAACAGGACCUCUUGAUGGAAGAUCUUCCACUCUUGAUCUAUGCAAGUCCAAGGUACAAAGGCUCAUCUGUUUACAUGGGCUUUUGUCAAAGAUAGGAGAGGUAACUGAAGAGGCAGGUUCCAAGCGGUUUGGGCUGGAAAUACAUUUUGUUCUGAUAUUUGUUGUUCAUUGUUUUUUCAUUUUUGUAAAGAGGUUUGAAUUUUGUUGGAGAAGUAUAUUUCAUAAAUUAAAAAUAAAGAAAUGAUAAUA